rnacentral:lncRNA from 1 species
AACUUGUUCACAAACAAACGUGUUUUAAGCUGCUAAAGACAUAUGAUUCAAACGCUGAGAAAGUCCUUUGUUCUAUAUUUUUGCUCUCCAUUUUUAUGCAAAACCUUUUACAUUUUUAUUUUAUUGGUUAUUGUUGAAGGUCGUACGAUGACGUAUAGUUGUUAACACAUACUUCCUUUGGUUUCUUAUGGAAAUUUGUCCAUUGACAACAAACAUAC